AACUCUGGUAUUGAUUGGUGCUUGCAUCAUGAUUUACAUUUGAGUGAGUGGCGAACUGGUGAGUAACACGUGGGAAACCUGCCCAGAAGCGGGGGAUAACACCUGGAAACAGAUGCUAAUACCGCAUAACAACUUGGACCGCAUGGUCCGAGUUUGAAAGAUGGCUUCGGCUAUCACUUUUGGAUGGUCCCGCGGCGUAUUAGCUAGAUGGUGGGGUAACGGCUCACCAUGGCAAUGAUACGUAGCCGACCUGAGAGGGUAAUCGGCCACAUUGGGACUGAGACACGGCCCAAACUCCUACGGGAGGCAGCAGUAGGGAAUCUUCCACAAUGGACGAAAGUCUGAUGGAGCAACGCCGCGUGAGUGAAGAAGGGUUUCGGCUCGUAAAACUCUGUUGUUAAAGAAGAACAUAUCUGAGAGUAACUGUUCAGGUAUUGACGGUAUUUAACCAGAAAGCCACGGCUAACUACGUGCCAGCAGCCGCGGUAAUACGUAGGUGGCAAGCGUUGUCCGGAUUUAUUGGGUGUAAAGCGAGCGCAGGCGGUUUUUUAAGUCUGAUGUGAAAGCCUUCGGCUCAAGCGAAGAAGUGCAUCGGAAACUGGGAAACUUGAGUGCAGAAGAGGACAGUGGAACUCCAUGUGUAGCGGUGAAAUGCGUAGAUAUAUGGAAGAACACCAGUGGCGAAGGCGGCUGUCUGGUCUGUAACUGACGCUGAGGCUCGAAAGUAUGGGUAGCAAACAGGAUUAGAUACCCUGGUAGUCCAUACCGUAAACGAUGAAUGCUAAGUGUUGGAGGGUUUCCGCCCUUCAGUGCUGCAGCUAACGCAUUAAGCAUUCCGCCUGGGGAGUACGGCCGCAAGGCUGAAACUCAAAGGAAUUGACGGGGGCCCGCACAAGCGGUGGAGCAUGUGGUUUAAUUCGAAGCUACGCGAAGAACCUUACCAGGUCUUGACAUACUAUGCAAAUCUAAGAGAUUAGACGUUCCCUUCGGGGACAUGGAUACAGGUGGUGCAUGGUUGUCGUCAGCUCGUGUCGUGAGAUGUUGGGUUAAGUCCCGCAACGAGCGCAACCCUUAUUAUCAGUUGCCAGCAUUAAGUUGGGCACUCUGGUGAGACUGCCGGUGACAAACCGGAGGAAGGUGGGGAUGACGUCAAAUCAUCAUGCCCCUUAUGACCUGGGCUACACACGUGCUACAAUGGAUGGUACAACGAGUUGCGAACUCGCGAGAGUAAGCUAAUCUCUUAAAGCCAUUCUCAGUUCGGAUUGUAGGCUGCAACUCGCCUACAUGAAGUCGGAAUCGCUAGUAAUCGCGGAUCAGCAUGCCGCGGUGAAUACGUUCCCGGGCCUUGUACACACCGCCCAUCACACCAUGAGAGUUUGUAACACCCAAAGUCGGU
rnacentral:rRNA from 1 species